rnacentral:rRNA from 1 species
UACGGGGGAUGCAAGCGUUAUCCGGAUUUACUGGGUGUAAAGGGAGCGUAGACGGCAGCGCAAGUCUGGAGUGAAAUCCCAUGGCUUAACCAUGGAACUGCUUUGGAAACUGUGCAGCUGGAGUGCAGGAGAGGUAAGCGGAAUUCCUAGUGUAGCGGUGAAAUGCGUAGAUAUUAGGAGGAACACCAGAGGCGAAGGCGGCUUUCUGGACAUUAACUGACGCUGAGGUUCGAAAGCGUGGGUAGCAAACAGG